AGUGAACGCUGGCGGUAGGCCUAACACAUGCAAGUCGAACGGCAGCACAGUAAGAGCUUGCUCUUACGGGUGGCGAGUGGCGGACGGGUGAGGAAUACAUCGGAAUCUACUUUUUCGUGGGGGAUAACGUAGGGAAACUUACGCUAAUACCGCAUACGACCUACGGGUGAAAGCAGGGGAUCUUCGGACCUUGCGCGAUUGAAUGAGCCGAUGUCGGAUUAGUUAGUUGGCGGGGUAAAGGCCCACCAGGCGGACGUCCGUAGCUGGUCUGAGAGGAUGAUCAGCCACACUGGAACUGAGACACGGUCCAGACUCCUACGGGAGGCAGCAGUGGGGAAUAUUGGACAAUGGGCGCAAGCCUGAUCCAGCCAUACCGCGUGGGUGAAGAAGGCCUUCGGGUUGUAAAGCCCUUUUGUUGGGAAAGAAAAGCAGCAGGUUAAUACCCCGCUGUUCUGACGGUACCCAAAGAAUAAGCACCGGCUAACUUCGUG
rnacentral:rRNA from 1 species